rnacentral:rRNA from 1 species
AUUGAACGCUGGCGGCAUGCUUUACACAUGCAAGUCGAACGGUAACAGGCCGCAAGGUGCUGACGAGUGGCGAACGGGUGAGUAAUGCAUCGGAACGUGCCCAGUCGUGGGGGAUAACGCAGCGAAAGCUGUGCUAAUACCGCAUACGAACUAUGGAUGAAAGCGGGGGACUCGCAAGGGCCUCGCGCGAUUGGAGCGGCCGAUAUCAGAUUAGGUAGUUGGUGGGGUAAAGGCUCACCAAGCCGACGAUCUGUAGCUGGUCUGAGAGGACGACCAGCCACACUGGAACUGAGACACGGUCCAGACUCCUACGGGAGGCAGCAGUGGGGAAUUUUGGACAAUGGGCGCAAGCCUGAUCCAGCAAUGCCGCGUGCAGGAUGAAGGCCUUCGGGUUGUAAACUGCUUUUGUACGGAACGAAAAGGCUCUGGCUAAUACCUGGAGCACAUGACGGUACCGUAAGAAUAAGCACCGGCUAACUACGUGCCAGCCGCCGCAGUAAUAC